UAUAAUUGUCAGCUAAGUGGCGCACGGGUGAGUAAUGUAUAGAUAACCUGCCCUUAAGAAAGGAAUAACAGUUGGAAACGACUGCUAAUGCCCUAUAUGCCUUUAACACAUAAGUAUGCAAGGGAAACGCUUUAGUGCUUAAGGAUGGGUCUGUAUGGUAUCAGCUUGUUGGUGAGGUAAUGGCUCACCAAGGCUAUGACGCCUAACUGGUUUGAGAGGAUGAUCAGUCACACUGGAACUGAGACACGGUCCAGACUCCUACGGGAGGCAGCAGUGGGGAAUAUUGCACAAUGGACGAAAGUCUGAUGCAGCAACGCCGCGUGGAGGAUGACACAUUUCGGUGCGUAAACUCCUUUUAUAUAGGAAGAUAAUGACGGUACUAUAUGAAUAAGCACCGGCUAACUCCGUGCCAGCAGCCGCGGUAAUACGGAGGGUGCAAGCGUUACUCGGAAUCACUGGGCGUAAAGAGCGUGUAGGCGGGUAUAUAAGUCAGAAGUGAAAUCCAAUAGCUCAACUAUUGAACUGCUUUUGAAACUGUAUACCUAGAAUGUGGGAGAGGUAGAUGGAAUUUCUGGUGUAGGGGUAAAAUCCGUAGAGAUCAGAAGGAAUACCGAUUGCGAAGGCGAUCUACUGGAACAUUAUUGACGCUGAGACGCGAAAGCGUGGGGAGCAAACAGGAUUAGAUACCCUGGUAGUCCACGCCCUAAACGAUGUACACUAGUUGUUGUGAGGCUCGACCUUGCAGUAAUGCAGUUAACACAUUAAGUGUACCGCCUGGGGGAGUACGGUCGCAAGAUUAAA
rnacentral:rRNA from 1 species